rnacentral:lncRNA from 1 species
UGGCCGCCCCACUCCAAUCUUAUUAUGCAAAUGGACUUUUCACUUGGCUGGCGCCAUGUUGUCUGCUUCUUACUGUACACCUGGCUGGAAAGGAGAAGGGAAGACGGAGCCACAGUUUUGAACAUGGUUAUUCCCAGCCAACCUGCAGAGCUGUGAAACCUGCGGACUUAAGCUUACCAUGGGCAGGUUGUGAAAGAGGAAGUGAAUGGUGAAUAUGUGCAACCUGAAGAGUUCAGGAAAGAAAUUAGGGAAAAUAGCUGAUCCCCAUGACUAAAGGGAUUUCAAAGAGAGAAGUCCUGUGGAAAGAGAGUUGUUCAAGCAGAAUUUGUUAAAAUGUUGGUUGUUACCGUUGCAAUAUAAUACUUUUUUUC